rnacentral:rRNA from 1 species
CCAAUCGAACCCGGAGAUAGCUGGUUCUCCUCGAAAUAGCUUUAGGGCUAGCCUCAUGGAUCAUUGAUGGGGGUAGAGCACUGAAUGUGCGCGGGGGCCACAAAGCCUACCAAACGCUAUCAAACUUCGAAUACCAUACAAUGCAGACCAUGGGAGUCAGUCCGCGAGAGAUAAGUUCCGCGGGCAAAAGGGGAACACCCCAGAUCAACCGCUAAGGUCCCCAAGUUCACGUUAAGUGGAGAAGGAUGUGGAAUUGCACAGACAACCAGGAUGUUGGCUCAGAAGCAGCCACACAUUUAAAGAGUGCGUAAUAGCUCACUGGUCGAGUGAUUGUGCGCCGAAGAUGUCCGGGGCUAAACGUGACACCGAAGCGAUGGGUGCAUCUGAAAGGAUGCGCGGUAGAGGAGCAAUGUGCAGAGGCAGAAGCCGUAUCGAGAGGCACGGUGGACACUGCACAAGAGAGAAUGCCGGUAUGAGUAGCGAGAGGCAUGCGAGAAACAUGCCCGUCGAAAGCCCAAGGUUUCCUGGGGAAGGUUCAUCCGCCCAGGGUAAGUCGGGGCCUAAGCCGAGGACGGAAGUCGUAGGCGAUGGAUAGCAGGUGUAGAUUCCUGCACUACCGAUGGAAUGAAGCAGUGACACAGAAGGAUAACUCGAGCAGGGUGAUGGUCAACCCUGUGCAAGCAUCAAGGUUGGGUUGUAGUGAAGUACGCAAUCCUAUAAGCUGAGAUGUGAUGCGGACCGAAAUUUCAGUAGGGAAGCGAGUGAGUUCACGCUGGCGAGAAAAGCUGCUAGUACAUCCAAAGGUACCCGUACCGGAAACCGACGCAGGUGGGCGAGGAGAGAAUCCUGAGACGAACGGGAGAACCCUUGUUAAGGAACUCGGCAAAAUGACCCCGUAACUUCGGGAUAAGGGGUGCCUGCGAGAGCAGGCCGCAGAGAAUAGUCACAAGCGACUGUUUAGCAAAAACACAGGUAUCUGCGAAAGCGAGAGCUGACGUAUAGGUGCUGACACCUGCCCGGUGCUGGAAGGUUAAGGGAACAUGUUAGAGCAAUCGAAGCAUCGAACCGAAGCCCCAGUAAACGGCGGCCGUAACUAUAACGGUCCUAAGGUAGCGAAAUUCCUUGUCGGGUAAGUUCCGACCCGCACGAAUGGUGUAACGACUUGUGAGCUGUCUCAACAGGGGGCCCGGUGAAAUUGAAGUAUGGGUGAAGAUGCCCAUUACCCGCGACUGGACGGAAAGACCCCGUAGAGCUUUACUGCAGCCUGAUAUUGAGUUUCGGUAACUGAUGCACAGGAUAGGUGGGAGUCUGAGAGACAUGGGUUUCGGCUCAUGUGGAGACGGUGUUGGGAUACCACUCUUCGGUUACUGAAAUUCUAACAUAGCUCUGUGAAACCAGAGGAUGGACAGUGUCAGGUGGACAGUUUGACUGGGGCGGUCGCCUCCGAAAGAGUAACGGAGGCGCCCAAAGGUACCCUCAGAAUGGAUGGAAACCAUUCGAAGAGCGCAAAGGCAGAAGGGUGCCUGACUGCGAGAUUGACAAAUCGAGCAGAGACGAAAGUCGGGCUUAGUGAUCCGGCGGUAUUGAGUGGAAAAGCCGUCGCUUAACGGAUAAAAGCUACCUCGGGGAUAACAGGCUGAUCUCCCCCAAGAGUCCACAUCGACGGGGAGGUUUGGCAC